UGGUGGAGUGAUUUGUCUGGUUAAUUCCGAUAACGAACGAGACUCUGACCUGCUAAAUAGUACGUCAGUAUUGACACUCUUUAUGGGUGUUCUAGCUGGCGCUGACUUCUUAGAGGGAUUCGCAGUAUUUAAACUGCACGAGAUAGAGCAAUAACA
rnacentral:rRNA from 1 species